rnacentral:rRNA from 1 species
UGGGGAAUCUUGCCCAAUGGGCGAAAGCCUGAGGCAGCAACGCCGCGUGCGGGAUGAAGGCCCUUGGGUUGUAAACCGCUUUCAGCAGGGACGAAAAUGACGGUACCUGCAGAAGAAGCCCCGGCCAACUACGUGCCAGCAGCCGCGGUAAGACGUAGGGGGCAAGCGUUGUCCGGAUUUAUUGGGCGUAAAGGGCUCGUAGGCGGCUUAGCAAGUCAGGUGUGAAACCUCCAGGCUUAACCUGGAGACGCCAUUUGAGACUGCUAUGGCUAGAGUGCGGUAGGGGACCAUGGAAUCUCCGGUGUAGCGGUGAAAUGCGCAGAUAUCGGAGGGAACACCAGUGGCGAAGGCGGUGGUCUGGGCCGUAACUGACGCUGAGGAGCGAAAGCGUGGGUAGCAAACAG